rnacentral:rRNA from 1 species
GAUCCUGGCUCAGGAUGAACGCUAGCGACAGGCCUAACACAUGCAAGUCGAGGGGCAGCGAAGAGGUAGCAAUACCUCUGUCGGCGACCGGCGCACGGGUGAGUAACACGUAUGCAAUCCACCUGUAACAGGGGGAUAACCCGGAGAAAUCCGGACUAAUACCCCAUAAUAUGGGCGCUCCGCAUGGAGAGCCCAUUAAAGAGAGCAAUUUUGGUUACAGACGAGCAUGCGCUCCA